GACGAACGCUGGCGGCGUGCUUAACACAUGCAAGUCGAACGGAAAGGCCCUGCUUUUGUGGGGUGCUCGAGUGGCGAACGGGUGAGUAACACGUGAGUAACCUGCCCUUGACUUUGGGAUAACUUCAGGAAACUGGGGCUAAUACCGGAUAGGAGCUCCUGCUGCAUGGUGGGGGUUGGAAAGUUUCGGCGGUUGGGGAUGGACUCGCGGCUUAUCAGCUUGUUGGUGGGGUAGUGGUUUACCAAGGCUUUGACGGGUAGCCGGCCUGAGAGGGUGACCGGCCACAUGGGGACUGCGAUACGGACCAGACUCGUACGGGAGGCAGCAGUGGGGAAUAUUGCACAGUGGGCGGAAGCCUGAUGCAGCAACGCCGCGUGCGGGAUGACGGCCUUCGGGUUGUAAACCGCUUUCGCCUGUGACGAAGCGGGAGUGACGGUAAUGGGUAAAGAAGCACCGGCUAACUACGUG
rnacentral:rRNA from 1 species